ACCAUACAUCCUAGCAAAGCAGAGGAAAAGUGUCACUUCUGGGAACAAAGUGAGGAAUUUUUGAAAGGCUGUUUCUCUGGCAUGUCGAACCCAAGAAUGUUUUCACGCAGAUGCAAUAGAAAUCUGGGUGUGCUCUCUGCCCCUUUUAGGCUUGGCACCCUCAUCUGUAAAAAGAUCCUCUAGCAAAGGUUAGGAAACGCAAUCCCAUUCCAGACAGGCCCUGCCUCCAACGGGGAGAGAGCAGUGCCCAUGGCCAGCCUUCCCCUCGUGGAUUGGCCCUGUCCUGGUGGCUUCUGAUCCCUGCUUCCAUUUUGGCUGUUAACCUCAGUGCUGGGAGCUAAUUGGGGGAGGAAAAACCCAAUCCUCAUUUUGAAUUAGAAAGAAGAAAAGCUUACCACUUCAAGCAAGACAACAAUUCAAAUAUUAGAAGAGUUACUAUUUGAAGAGUAAUAAGCAUUGGACCUGCAGUUCCUUAGUUUGUAGCUGCAAAGUGCCUUACACCAGGAUUUUCCAGGAGUCCUUAUCUCUGAAGAUACAAAGGGGUUACAACUGGUAACAAAAAAGGAGAAAUAGUGGUAUUUUAAGAUCAUAAGGAGCUGGAAUAGAUGAGCUUGUAUCUUUCUGCUGAAGCCAUUUUACUCCAAGGAAGAAGUAAUUUUAUUUUCUUUGCUUAAAAAUUGUUGCUGUUCACUGUUUGUGCUGCUUGCAUAUUCAGACCCGAAGGAAGCUUUGUAAGUCACACUGCUUUAAAAAAAAAAAAAAAAAAUUGAGCUUUGACAUAAACUACCAAAGUGCUUUCAUUACUAGCAACAAUCUUUUCCUGUGGGUGCUGAAAACUGGGAAGCACUGAACAUCUAUUGUAUUUGGCGUAUUUGUCUUUUUUACCUUUAAGUACAUCAACAGGCACUAGCCCUUUGGUAUCUCACCACCACAAUGGAAGAAGUCUGGGUUGUGUAUCUGUGCCUGAUCUUGCUUAUCGUGGUGCUUUUUCUAAUGAAGCAUAACCCACAUUUGGAAGAGGCCAAGAAGGACAGGGAAAGCAAAAGCCCCCCACCAUCCUCUUCCUUUUCUCCCAGUACUGUUGGCAAACAGCUGGAGCACACCCAGGAAGAGCUGGAGCACUAUCUGGAGAGGCUAACCCAUGUCUUGUUUGACUCGGAAGCUAGGAAAAGGGAUGGCCACCAUGAUCAGAAGUCCCACCACCAACAGCACAGAACCACUGAUGUUACGUCUGAAACUAAAGAGCCUUCAGGGAAGGAGGCGACAUAUUCUCAGUAUCUGUCAAGCCACACCAGGGUUCAGGCCUGAACCAGCUAGUCAGCCUGAGACAGAUAAUACUUAGAGCAGUUGCUGCUCCAGGUUCCACUGUGUGUGGUGGCAGCUUGCAGAAGUAGUGGUAUCGCAGCCUUCCUGGAGGAGACCUGGAGUGAACCAAGCGGUUUGGUGGGGUGGGAUGGGAUAGGGGCAUCUUUAUGGGCAUACCUGGGUGAGGGGAGGAGGGACUGAUGAACAUUUGGCAUUGCAUUUCUAUAUUGGCUAAGGCAAAAAGCUUUCCCUGUGUUGAGGCCAGGUCAGGUACAUUUGCUGUUUCUUGAGAAUAAACAUCCCAUCUUGUUUGUACA
ensembl:lncRNA